rnacentral:rRNA from 1 species
AUUGAACGCUGGCGGCAUGCCUUACACAUGCAAGUCGAACGGCAGCACGGGAGCAAUCCUGGUGGCGAGUGGCGAACGGGUGAGUAAUAUAUCGGAACGUGCCCAGUCGUGGGGAUAACGUAGCGAAAGCUACGCUAAUACCGCAUACGAUCUAUGGAUGAAAGCGGGGGAUCGCAAGACCUCGCGCGAUUGGAGCGGCCGAUAUCAGAUUAGGUAGUUGGUGAGGUAAAGGCUCACCAAGCCGACGAUCUGUAGCUGGUCUGAGAGGACGACCAGCCACACUGGGACUGAGACACGGCCCAGACUCCUACGGAGGCAGCAGUGGGGAAUUUUGGACAAUGGGCGCAAGCCUGAUCCAGCAAUGCCGCGUGCAGGAUGAA